CCUGACUUAGACUCGCUAUGUGUCAGGAAUCAGCGUUCAGUGGUAUCUCACUUACCAGCGUGCUGGUGUGCAGGCCUUCCGGAGGUCACGGCCCCAGUUUGCUGCUGCAUGAAUGCCCUGUUCGGAGCGCAGUACCCAUUGUCACUGUGUACCCCUGAAGUCCAUCCAGCGUGUACCCCGCUGUGUGCCCGCCAUCUGUACAGCAUGGGUGCCGCCAUGACGCUUACGGUCAGCUGAUCUGCAACACCCAAUCCUGCGCUGUGUCUGCACACAUGAUUCAAGCAUCCAAAGCCUGCUGACCAUGGGGUAUAAGUUCAGAACAUCGGCUCAGUCUCAUCGCCUUGAACAACGCAUCACAUCCAGUGCACAGCAUCUCCUGGAUCCAGUCUCCUGUCUCCGGUGAUCUCCUAGCUCCAGUUUUUCCGUGGAACUAAAGGCACCAGCCAUCCAGUCCUGCUACAAUUCCUUUCACAGUCUGCUUCCACUUCUACAUGCAGGAUGAGACUCCCCAGGCUGGCCAUCGAUGUUCAUCAUCGGCUUCCAGGCCGAUCAUCACAGUUGGCUAAUCACACUUGUUUCCAGACCAGCCCAUUACCUGUGACUGUUAUUAUACCUCAGUCAGCUUCCCCGCUGAGAACCAUCUGUACUGACAUUUUCUCCAGUUGCUGUUUAUAUGUCUGUGUGCUAAAAUAAAACAUCAUUGCGCACAUGUGCAGGAACUUA